ensembl:snRNA U6 U6 spliceosomal RNA
GUGCUCGCUUCGGCCUCACACAUGCUAAAAUGGGAACGGUACAGAGGAGAUUAGCAUGGCCCCUGUGCAAGGAUGACACUCAAGUUCGAGAAGCGGUCCAUAUUUUC